rnacentral:rRNA from 1 species
GGAAUAUUGGUCAAUGGGCGAGAGCCUGAACCAGCCAAGUAGCGUGCAGGAAGACUGCCCUAUGGGUUGUAAACUGCUUUUAUGCGGGAAUAAAGUCAGGUACGUGUACCUGUUUGUAUGUACCGCAUGAAUAAGGACCGGCUAAUUCCGUGCCAGCAGCCGCGGUAAUACGGAAGGUCCGGGCGUUAUCCGGAUUUAUUGGGUUUAAAGGGAGCGCAGGCGGAGGAUUAAGCGUGACGUGAAAUGUCCCGGCUCAACCGUGGAAGUGCGUCGCGAACUGGGUUUCUUGAGUGAGUGCGACGUGUACGGAAUUCGUGGUGUAGCGGUGAAAUGCUUAGAUAUCACGAAGAACCCCGAUUGCGAAGGCAGCUGACGAGUCCUUAACUGACGCUAAAGCUCGAAAGUGCGGGUAUCGAACA